rnacentral:rRNA from 1 species
UACGGGGGGUGUAAGCGUUGUUCGGAAUUACUGGGCGUAAAGGGCUCGUAGGCGGCCAACUAAGUCGGACGUGAAAUCCCUCAGCUUAACUGGGGAACUGCGUCCGAUACUGGAUGGCUUGGAUUUGGGAGAGGGAUGCGGAAUUCCAGGUGUAGCGGUGAAAUGCGUAGAUAUCUGGAGGAACACCGGUGGCGAAGGCGGCAUCCUGGACCAAUAGUGACGCUGAGGAGCGAAAGCUAGGGGAGCAAACGGG